GACGAACGCUGGCGGCGCGCCUAACACAUGCAAGUCAAACGGAGCUGAGAGGAGCUUGCUUUUCUUAGCUUAGUGGCGAACGGGUGAGUAACGCGUGAGUAACCUGCCCUGGAGUGGGGGACAACAGUUGGAAACGACUGCUAAUACCGCAUAAGCCCACGGUGCCGCAUGGCACUGCGGGAAAAGGAUUUAUUCGCUUCAGGAUGGACUCGCGUCCAAUUAGCUAGUUGGUGAGGUAACGGCCCACCAAGGCGACGAUUGGUAGCCGGACUGAGAGGUUGAACGGCCACAUUGGGACUGAGACACGGCCCAGACUCCUACGGGAGGCAGCAGUGGGGGAUAUUGCACAAUGGGGGAAACCCUGAUGCAGCGACGCCGCGUGGAGGAAGAAGGUUUUCGGAUUGUAAACUCCUGUCGUUAGGGACGAUAAUGACGGUAC
rnacentral:rRNA from 1 species